rnacentral:rRNA from 1 species
GACGAACGCUGGCGGCGUGCUUAACACAUGCAAGUCGAACGGAAAGGCCCUGCUUCUGUGGGGUGCUCGAGUGGCGAACGGGUGAGUAACACGUGAGUAACCUGCCCUUGACUUUGGGAUAACUUCAGGAAACUGGGGCUAAUACCGGAUAGGAGCUCCUGCUGCAUGGUGGGGGUUGGAAAGUUUCGGCGGUUGGGGAUGGACUCGCGGCUUAUCAGCUUGUUGGUGGGGUAGUGGCUUACCAAGGCUUUGACGGGUAGCCGGCCUGAGAGGGUGACCGGCCACCAUAGGACUGAGAGAGGGCCCAGACUCCUACGGGAGGCAGCGGUGGGGAAUAUGGCACAAUGAGCGGGAGCCUACUGCAGCAACGCCGGGUGCGGGAUGACGGCCUUCGGGUUGUGAACCGCUUUCGCCUGUGACGAAGCGUGAGUGACGGUAAUGGGUAAAGAAGCACCGGCUAACUACGUG